CUGCCAGUUAGACAGAAGUCAACAUUCCUCAGGAAACUGUGAAGCUGGGCUCUCCUCUACUGUUGGCAGAAGGGACAAAGGGCUAUCUGUGGUAGCCAUUAGCAUACCAGAGUGCCCCCAGAUCUCUCAGAAUCACAGGAACUACUUGGGAAUCCAGAGCCACGUGACUGACCUAGAGCUCCUGAUUGUCAGUGAGGACCUCACUGUAGGCUCUUUCUGCCCCUCACUGCUCUCCAAGCACAGAACAGAAUUCCAUGGAUAACAGGAAAAACCCAAGAGUUGGUGCUGUGUUCCCAACCCUAGUCCAGCACAAACCUACGAGCCAAGGCAGCCAGUAUUUGGCCAUUCGUCCAUCCAUCUGCAUAUCCCAGGGAUGCACGAACAGAGAACAGUUCAGCCUCUCGGCCGCCUUCAAUAGAGCAAUGAGAAAGAAGUUAUUUGGGGGAGACUGCUUUUCGUCAUCUGAUUCUAUAUUGACCUGAAUAAAUAAGCUUAAAUACUUCUGAAGUUCCUUCUUGAUCUGUAUAAAAGAUUCCUUGACCAAUUUAGUCCUGCUUGAAGAAAUAAAAAAGAUUAACCAUA